rnacentral:rRNA from 1 species
CGCGCAGGCGGAACACAUAGUCAGACGUGAAGGCCCCGGGCUUAACCUGGGAAUUGCGUUUGAUACUUGUGAUCUGGAGUCUCGGAGAGGGUGGUGGAAUUCCCAGUGUAGAGGUGAAAUUCGUAGAUAUUGGGAAGAACACCAGUGGCGAAGGCGGCCACCUGGACGAGUACUGACGCUGAGGCGCGAAAGCGUGGGGAGCAAACAGGAUUAGAUACCCUGGUAGUCC